rnacentral:rRNA from 1 species
UGGGGAAUAUUGGACAAUGGGGGCAACCCUGAUCCAGCGAUGCCGCGUGUGUGAAGAAGGCCUUCGGGUUGUAAAGCACUUUAGUUGGGGAAGAAGGGGUAGAUCUGAAUAGGGUUUAUCUUUGACGGUACCCAAAGAAUAAGCACCGGCUAACUCUGUGCCAGCAGCCGCGGUAAUACAGAGGGUGCGAGCGUUAAUCGGAGUGACUGGGCGUAAAGGGCGCGUAGGCGGUCAUGCAAGUGAGAUGUGAAAUCCCUGGGCUUAACCUAGGAACCGCAUUUUAGACUGUGUGACUGGAGUACAGUAGAGGGUGGUGGAAUUUCCGGUGUAGCGGUGAAAUGCGUAGAGAUCGGAAGGAACAUCAGUGGCGAAGGCGACCACCUGGACUGUGACUGACGCUGAGGCGCGAAAGCGUGGGUAGCAAACAGGAUUAGAUACCCUCGUAGUCCCUGAGCGGGCUGGCAAGGCGCAU